GACGAAUCGAGCGAACGUUGUUCGGAAUCACUGGGCUUAAAGGGCGCGUAGGCGGGUGCUCAAGUCCGUGGUGAAAUCCUCCGGCUCAACCGGAGAACUGCCUCGGAUACUGGGCGUCUCGAGUGUGGUAGGGGUAUGCGGAACUAUCGGUGGAGCGGUGAAAUGCGUUGAUAUCGAUAGGAACUCCGGUGGCGAAGGCGGCAUACUGGACCACCACUGACGCUGAUGAGCGAAAGCGUGGGGAGCGAACAGG
rnacentral:rRNA from 1 species